rnacentral:rRNA from 1 species
UACGUAGGGUGCAAGCGUUAAUCGGAAUUACUGGGCGUAAAGCGUGCGCAGGCGGUUUUGUAAGCCAGAUGUGAAAGCCCCGGGCUUAACCUGGGAAUGGCAUUUGAGACUGCAUAGCUAGGGUGCGGAAGAGGGAAGCGGAAUUUCCGGUGUAGCGGUGAAAUGCGUAGAUAUCGGAAGGAACAUCAGUGGCGAAGGCGACUUCCUGGACCAAUACUGACGCUCAGGUGCGAAAGCGUGGGGAGCAAACAGG